rnacentral:tRNA from 1 species
GGUCUUAUAUUCAAUUAUGAUUUUAAAUUGCAAAUUUAAAGGUAAAAUUUAUUUUUAAGACUU